rnacentral:rRNA from 1 species
GAUGAACGCUGGCGGCGUGCCUAAUACAUGCAAGUCGAGCGAACGGACGAGAAGCUUGCUUCUCUGAUGUUAGCGGCGGACGGGUGAGUAACACGUGGAUAACCUACCUAUAAGACUGGGAUAACUUCGGGAAACCGGAGCUAAUACCGGAUGAUAUUUUGAACCGAAUGGUUCAAAAGUGAAAGACGGUCUUGCUGUCACUUAUAGAUGUAUCCGCGCUGCAUUAGCUAGUUGGUAAGGUAACGGCUUACCAAGGCAACGAUGCAUAGCCGACCUGAGAGGGUGAUCGGACACACUGGAACUGAGACACGGUCCAGACUCCUACGGGAGGCAGCAGUAGGGAAUCUUCCGCAAUGGGCGAAAGCCUGACGGAGCAACGCCGCGUGAGUGAUGAAGGUCUUCGGAUCGUAAAACUCUGUUAUUAGGGAAGAACAUAUGUGUAAGUAACUGUGCACAUCUUGACGGUACCUAAUCAGAAAGCCACGGCUAACUACGUG